GCCAUAGGACCAAACAUAAUUUAUUAUUUAAAAACUACAACUUAAUUUUAUUUAAAAAUCAUGUUGGUUAGUGUUGUAUAAUUUUUAUGUUGGUUAAUGUUAUUUAAUGUUGUUUCAUAUUGUUUAAUGUUGUUUCAUGUUACUUAAUUUAAUUUAAUGUUGUAUAAUUGACACACCCCGUCCCGAAGGAGGGCAUGCUGGCCGUCACGUGAGAGUGACGUAACCAUUUGCAUUGUACGGAAGCUUUAAGAUACAAUUUAUAAGUUGAUACACCCGAAGGUGAGUCCUAAUUUGAUAAUAUUCUGUCAGAACCCCGCUGAAUUCCUCGUAGCCACCACACCUCAGCUAUUCUUUAACCUGGAGGGGCGCAAAACCAAAAUUGAGUGGGUCAGUAAAACAAAUCAAAUCCAACUUUUCUCAAAACAUUGUAACCCCUCUCCGUAAAACUUGUAUACUUUCCCAGAAAUGUAAAAUAUAAAUAUACAUAUAUAAUCUCAAAACUUCAAUUCACUUUUUCAACAUUUUUCAUAUCAGUUAUGCCAUGCCAUGUCUAAAUUCAACAGUUAAGUAUGAAUGCAUCAACAAUAAUCAUAUCAGGUGCAAGAAAGAAAUAAACUGGAGGCCCUCUAAUAGCCCUGUACGGUUGAACCUAGAGCUCAAAAUCUAUCACUCUCACUCUGCCGGAGUCACCUCUGUGACCUGUCCGGCCUUCUGCACAUAAGUCGGAACCACCUAAUGUAGUCUGUACGACUUAAUGGUUAAUAUUACGCUCUAGUGCUUUUCUCAUCAAUCAUCUGUGCACAUAAUCUAAGGUCACCCACCAGUCGAAAUCUCACUAACACUCUACGACUGGCCCGUCGCACCCACUCCGCGUGGACUGUGCGACCAGCAUCUACUUGGAUCCAAGGCGAGCGUGCGAUGCGGUGAAUACUAUAAGCACUAAACCAUGGUGCAUGAUUUGAGCUCAAUAUACAUCAACAUCAUCAUAACAGUAAUUAAAUACUCACCUGAUACUCACCUGUGCGUCCGCCGCACCAUUCAUUCAUAUGCAUCAUAUAACAAUUCAUAUCAUUUGAUUCAUAUCAUUUCAUGCAUGGCAAUUCAAUUUACAUUUCCAUAUAUAUUUCAUAUACUUCUAUGCAUGACCUUUCAAUUCACGUUUUCAUAUAAUUCUAUAUACCUUUCAUUUAAAACAUAAUUUCAUU
rnacentral:lncRNA from 1 species